ACUAUAAGUUUAACAAAUCUCUCACCUUGUCCAUGGAGGGCAGAAGAAAAUGUAUAUAUGCUGAUUAGCAUUGUAAAUGUGUGGCCACGUCUGUGGUAGAAAAAAAAGCUAUAAAAUGGUGUACACAAAGUGUAAUUGCUCCCCCAUUCCUUCUCCAUAGUCUAUGAUCUAUCUAUACCUUGUGUUGGUUCCAGGAAUCAAUGCCCCUGCAGCCCAGUCUCUGGCCAGGCCUCAUGGUUGGUGGUCUGGUCAACCUGGUAUCCUUUGUAGGUCUUUUAUCAAGUUGAGCACAGUUAGAGAUUGGCUGGUUAUGUCUCUUAUAAGUUGAGGGAGAGUAUUGAAAGGUCUUGGUCCAUUAAUGUUGAUAGAAUUUUCUCUUGGUGUACCUUUUACUCCUCUGCUCUUUAACAGGGAUUUGGGCAGUUAUAUAUGGCUUCUUUUUUGUGCCCAGCACAUGCCCACUUGGGGUAUUACCUGGGGUCUGACGAGUCGAAUGAAAUCCCUUAUUCAACAAAUAGGUCACCCCAUAUGGAUCAUUAAAGCAAGGACAUGCUGUAUUACUCUUUGGGUUCUGUUCAUUGGGAAAUUGAAAAUCCAUCUUCCUACUUUGUCGGUCUUGCUAGUAUUCUUUGUCAUAUGACACUUAGACAUUUGUUGAAGUCUCUUAUUUGCCCUAGUAGUUCAGCAUCAUCAGCAAAUGUAUUCAUAUACUGUAACUCUGUAUCCUCCCCUGGUGCAUUGUCUGUGAUUAUCACCCUCAUUUUUUGGUCAAAAUUGUUCAUUCAUGCUGUAAGCCUGUCGGUUUUUCCAGCAUUUUCCAGCCUCCAGAUCUUUUUUUUGGGGGGGGGACUCAAAAACUUUAACUCUAGAUAAAUGCAGUAAAUCCGCCCAUCUCUUUCCUGUAAGAUCUCUGUGGUUCUAUCAUAAAAACUAACUAGAUUUGUUACACAGUAAAUUUGUUGCAAUAUUGUGUGCAAUAAGACCAUGGUCACAUUUGUUAACAGCUUUCUCAAAUUCUAUGUACUGUAUGUUACAUCACCAUUUUGCUCGUCAACCAUGGCAUCUAAAGCCAUCCUGCCAAUCACACGACAUAACUAUGACGUUGCUACAACAUUUGAACAAGUUUGUAACAACUUUCUAACAUGUCAUAAAAACUUUAUAACAAUAUGUAAGAACUUUGUAACAUGGUAACAAUAGGGACUGUUACGUUGUGUGUAUGUAGGGAUGUCAUAGUGAUCUAACAGCUCUGAUGGGCAGGAGCCCCAUGCUCUAAACCCAAGGUGUCUAGGGUUAUGUAAACAUUGUGACUCCAUGUGCUUUGUGACCUUACUUCUUAUUCUUAGCACCACUACAAAGAUUUUUUUGAUGUGUGAUGUUAGUGCUAUGGGGUUUAUAAUUUUUGGCAUCUUCUCUGCUACCUCAUUUGUGGAGUGUUAUGAUUUCUCCUGUUUUAAAUGUGUUGGGAUAACACCAAAAUCUAGGCUCAGUCUCCAAAUGUUGUUUAGGGCCUGUGACAGUAGUUUUCUGUUCAAAGCCCUGGUGGCCUCCUGAAGCUAUGUUGCUAAUGUAGCUUCCCAGUACUUAGCCACAUCAGUCAUAGGAGUCUUAUUGGCCUCUUUGAAGAGGCACAGAGAGCACAGAAUUGUUAUGAUGACUCACCAAGAAAGCACCCAGAAAGCAGCUGAAAAAUACAAAACAACUGCUUGAUUCAUGAAAACAAAGCACUGAAACAGCCAACAGAUACUGUACCACACACGAAUUGCUAAAAAAAAAUGGUUCGUAUGAGACUGAAUUUGAAACAACUACCCCAGUGUGCAUGUGCAAAGCCUCCAGCUGACGGUGAAGGUGGUGUUAUUUAUUUCAUAUUCAAUCCAUUGUUGAUAUACCACAAACUGACGCACUUGGUAGGGGGCGGAAGAGUCACGGGGCCACUGGGGUUCACUCAGAUAGGGGCAUUUUGGUGGAGGCACUGUUUGUGCCUCCGCUGAAGAAGAAUUAGUGGCACUCAAGUAGCAAUGAAUCACAGCUAUCAGACAUAUCAAAUAUUGCACCCUUGGCGAGACAAACCAAGCAUCGUUUACUGAGGGACCCCUCUGGAAGCCAACAAUCUGUCAGAAAAGGAGAUGGCGGCAGGUGAAGAAACCACCCACCAGGGUCAAAAGAACAGAACCCAUGCCUUUGGAGGAGAGCAGAAAGUUCCUAAAUCCAACAACCAGAGGCAAACGCCAACCAAAAACUGCUGAAGAAAAAGAAAAAUAUCCUGGAUCGAAUCAAAGGGUCACCUUUGAACCGAGGGGAAAGGAAGAAAUACCAACACCUGAUCUAGAGACCAAAAAGGCUCAGGGAGAGAAUGGGCUGACCUGAGGUGAAAGAAAACCCAAGACAACUUGUGAAACAGCACUGAGGAAAAAUCGAUGCUGAAUGCUAAUGAAUGCGUCUCAAAGGAUCACCAUGCACAAGUGUGUCUCCAAUCUUGACAACUCUCGGAGCAUCAUCUGAACCAGGAAAAAGAGGCCGCCACCAGUGGACCAGCGGGUCUUCGGCCGCCCAACUGCUACCCUUGCUCAGUUUGCGGCCGGAUGUUUGGCAAGCGGCACCAUCUUAAAGACCACAUGUACACCCACACAGGGGAGCGACCGUUUCCUUGUCCUGUUUGUGGUAUGGGGUUCUCUCAGAAGUCCAAUAUGAGGAGACAUGUUCGUUCCACACACCCGGAAGUGAAGUACCUGUUGGAGAGA